GAUGAACGCUAGCGGCAGGCCUAACACAUGCAAGUCGAGGGAGGAGCUUUCGGGCUUGGAGCGUCGUACGGGGGCGUAAGGCGGAUACAAUCUGCCUUUCACAGAGGUAUAGCCCGAGGUAAUUUGGAGUAAUACCUAAUGGUAUAUAGGAGUGGCAUCACAUUUAUAGUAAAGCUGAGGCGGUUAAAGAGGAGUAUGCGUUCUAUUAGCUAGUUGGAGAGGUAACGGCUGCCCAAGGCGACGAUAGAUAGGGGUUCUGAGAGGGAUAUCCCCCACACUGGUACUGAGAUACGGACCAGACUCCUACGGGAGGCAGCAGUGAGGAAGAUUGGACAAUGGUAGGAAGACUGAUCCAGCCAUGCCGCGUGCAGGAAGACGGCCUUAUGGGUUGUAAACUGCUUUUGGAGGGGAAGAAUAAGGAGUACGAGUAGUUUGAUGACGGUACUCUGCGAAUAAGCACCGGCUAACUCCGUG
rnacentral:rRNA from 1 species